rnacentral:lncRNA from 1 species
UUUGUUGAACACUUGAGCUUUUUAUGGACAGAAGAAUAUUGAUCAAGUAAAAUUUAUUAUGCAUCUUCCAUGAGAAUUUUGGUUUAUAAUUGCAGCUGCACAAGCCAGCAGCAGCUGAAGAUUUGGCUUCUGCAUCUAUUGCUCUGGAGAAGAAGUGAUGAAGAAACGAGAAGAGCAUCUUCUGAAUUUUGCUACUACCCAAGUGUACUUCUCAUGCUAAACCAACUGUUUUGUCCUUUGAUUUUGCCCUCCAGCACUCCUGGAUCUGCAAAAUUAGUAAUUUAUAGUUUGUCUUUAUUACGAGUGGGAAAAUUACAUUUAACAUCAUGCAGCUUGGUCCGAAUUGUUAUUACCGUUGUAGUUUGAAAAAUUGCACUUUACAUCUUAAAUCAACAAAAAAUUUCAAAAAUCAACCAAAUGACAGAUCAAUCUUCUCUCUUCAAGUUAUGAAAACCUUCCUCUUUGCAAAUUCUCAAGACAUUAAAUUGAAACAUUAAGGCUGGUUAGAGCUUUGCAGUUUCUUGCCACUGUUUUCCACGAAAUCAGGACCCCAAUGAAUGGUGUUUUAGGUAAUUAGAAAAUUGCUUCUUUUUAUCCUUACAUUUGCUAACGCUGUUGGUUGCUCAACCCUGUGCUCUGCACUCUGAGUUAUUAGACUUCUUAGGACAUGAUUUAGGGCAUGUGUCAGAUGUUCAAGCUUCUGCAACUUUAUGAUUGACACUGCCACUAUUCUCAAUACGCGAACUUCUCCUGUCGAUCGUUGGGAAAAGGCAAAAGACGCCUCCCUUGAAUUCAUAAAACCAUAUCAUUCUAUGUAGGGGUGUUCAAAAAUAUUUAUUGUAAAGGUUUGUUAUAUAUGUUUAAAUGUAAGAAAAGGAAAUAAAAUCCAAGUCAACAAAUGAUUAAUUAAUUAAUUAAUUUGUAUCGUUCACUUAUUUUUGAAUUAAAUUACAUUAAUGAAAAAAUGGAGAGCCGAAAAUAGAUUUGUUAAAAUAUAGUAAAAUCUUUUACCGUUAAGAAUUAACACUAGUGGAAGAAUUUACCCGUUCUAAACACUAAAGAGUUCUGUCUUUCUCACCUAAUCAUAAAAAUGAAUCUUUGGGAUGUGAGAAAUCUUUUGCCGAUCUUCACCCAUCUCCUCCUUCCCGUAACGUUUCCUUAGAAUGGGGCAACUAUUUAAAUUAAUAUAUUUUCUCUCUUUUAUUUUGUUGAUAUAGCCUCUUUAAAAUUACAAUUAUUUUUAAUUAUUUUGUAUGCAUUUAUUUUUAAAAUAUAUUAUUAUAAUUCAUUUAUAAAUGUUUUUUGUGUUUUAUAUGAAUAAAAAAUAUUUAUUUAUAAUAUUUAUAACAUGUAUAACCUUAUAUGUUUUUUUUUAAUUCAAUCAAUUUUACAUGUAUUUAUUUUUAUUAUUGUUUAAUUGAAUGAAAAUUUGAUUUUGAUAAACAAGGAUAUUUAAUACAAUCAGAUGAAAUACUUGUAUUGUAAUGUUAAAGAUCUUGAUUUAUCUAUGUUUAUCGAUAUUUCAUUUUGUCUUCAUUUAUUGUUAAUAUUUUUUUAUUUUUUUAUUUUUGUCAUACACAUUAUUCUCAAUAUAUUUGAUUAUAUUUAUGCAUAAGUUUUUUUAUUUAUUUAUGGUUAUAAUUUUUUUUAUGUACAAAUAUGUGUUGGAAAAAUCUUCAUAUAUAAUUUUUUUAUAUAAAAAAAAUAUGUUUGAUGCACUAACACGUGAGAGCUUUCACUUUUAAUUUGCAUAAUAAAAGAUUUGUUUUUGUCCUUAUGUUUUUUUUUAUUGAUCCUUUUAAUAUUGCACUGAUCUUAUAUUGAUUUUUAUGAUUUGAUUUUAUGCCAAUGAUGGGACCUUUUAGUGCUGGGGAAAUAUUACGUGCUUGGUUGAUUCUCAAUUUUAAAAAAAUCAAAAUCAAUUGCAUUCGUAUAAAAGAACUAGAAAUUCAGGUAUUGGAAUUGAAGACUAAAUAAAUGUGCAAUUCCUUUUGUUUGCUAACAUUGAGAAUUGAUUUGCAUAUUCAAUGAAAAAAAAAUCAAAUUCAAUUUUAGCAGUGGAUUGAUUGCCAUGAUCUAGCUAGCAGAAUUUGCUAGUGUUUUUUUUAAUUUAAUCAUUUUAUAUUUAAAUUGUUGAAAUUUGACAUAAUAAUUUUUUUUAAUUGCUUUGUGGGGUUAUUUUAACUUUAUAACUUGAGUCACGGUUUUAACAUACUAAUUAAAGUUGAUUCGAAUUAAUUUUUAUAAUAAAAAAUUAAUAUCAUUAUUUAAUAUUGAAUAAUAUAAAAAUUGAAUUUGUAAUUAUUUUUUGGGAACACUUUUUUAAGCAGGUCAUGCUAAGUGUUAUUAUUAAAAGAUCACAUGGUCAACCCAAGAAGUUCACAAAGAACACACAAUCAAAAACGCAAAAAAACAAAAAGGUUUCUUGAAUUUCAACCAAAGAACAUAACAAAACCGAUAAAAUAAAAUAAUACAUGUUUACUUACAGAAGAUUCAUUGACUAAAAUAGAUGGCAAUUUCUUCUUAGUUGCAAUAACAACACCGUUUGCCACUACAACACCGUUU